GAUGAAGAACGUAGCGAAAUGCGAUACUUGGUGUGAAUUGCAGAAUCCCGUGAACCAUCGAGUCUUUGAACGCAAGUUGCGCCCGAAGCCAUCAGGUUGAGGGCACGUCUGCCUGGGCGUCACAUAUCGUUGCCCAAUGCCUAUUGCAGUGCAAUAGGAAUUUCUAGGGCGAAUGAUGGCUUCCCGUGAGCGUUGUUGCCUCGCGGUUGGUUGAAAAUCGAGUCCUUGGUAGGGUGUGCCAUGGUAGAUGGUGGUCGAGUUACAACGAUACCGAUCAUGUGCAUGCUCCCCAAAAUAUGGCCUCUAUGACCCACACGCGUCUUUUGACGCUCAUGACGAGACCUCAGGUCAGGCGGGGCUACCCGCUGAAUUUAAGCAUAUCAAUAAGCGGAGGA
rnacentral:misc_RNA from 1 species